rnacentral:rRNA from 1 species
AGAGUUUGAUCCUGGCUCAGGAUGAACGCUGGCGGCGUGCUUAAUACAUGCAAGUCGAACGGAGAGUUUUGUAGUAAUACGAAGCUUCUCAGUGGCGAACGGGCGAGUAACGAGUUGGUGACCUGCCCCGAAGUGUGGGAUAACAGUCCGAAAGGAUUGCUAAUACCGCAUGUGAUCACCGGUUUUAGAAUCCGGUGAUUAAAGCAGUAAUGCGCUUCGGGAGGGACCUGCUUCCCAUCAGCUAGUUGGUGAGGUAAUGGCCCACCAAGGCUACGACGGGUAAGGGACCUGAGAGGGUGGUCCCUCGCAAUGGCACUGAAACACGGGCCAUACACCUACGGGUGGCAGCAGUAGGGAAUAUUGGGCAAUGGGCGAAAGCCUGACCCAGCAACGCCGCGUGCACGAUGAAGGCCUUCGGGUCGUAAAGUGCUUUUCUGAGGAAUGAGAAAGGACAGUACCUCAGGAAUAAGCCUCGGCUAACUACGUGCCAGCAGCCGCGGUAAAACGUAGGAGGCGAGCGUUAUCCGGAUUUACUGGGCGUAAAGCGUGUGUAGGCGGUACGGCAAGUUGGAUGUGAAAGCUCCUGGCUUAACUAGGAGAGGUCGUUCAAUACUACCGAACUUGAGGGCAUCAGAGGAAGGUGGAAUUCCCGGUGUAGUGGUGAAAUGCGUAGAUAUCGGGAGGAACACCAGUGGCGAAAGCGGCCUUCUGGGAUGAUCCUGACGCUCAGACACGAAAGCUAGGGUAGCGAACAGGAUUAGAUACCCUGGUAGUCCACGCCCUUAAACGAUGUCAACUAGGUGUUGGGUGGGUAAAACCAUUUAGUACCGGAGCUAACGCGUGAAGUUGACCGCCUGGGGAGUACGGCCGCAAGGUUAAAACUCAAAUGAAUUGACGG